rnacentral:RNase_P_RNA from 1 species
UGAGUUGGCCGGGCGGCCGCGGGUCGUCGCAAGACGGCUCGAGGAAAGUCCGGACUUCGCAGAGCAGGGUGGUUGCUAACAGCAACCCGGGGUGACCCGCGGGAAAGUGCCACAGAAAACAGACCGCCACCGGCAACGGUGGUAAGGGUGAAACGGUGCGGUAAGAGCGCACCAGCAUUCCGGGUGACCGGAAUGGCUAGGCAAACCCCACCCGAAGCAAGGCCAAGAAGACCGCACCUCGGUGCGGUCGCGCAGACGCUCGAGGGUUGCUCGCCCGAUGUCUGCGGGUAGGCCGCUCGAGGCACCCGGCGACGGGUGUCCCAGAUGGAUGGUCGCCGCCUCACCGCCGCGUACCGCGACGGUGAGGAACAGAAUCCGGCUUACAGGCCAACUCAUCCG